rnacentral:rRNA from 1 species
GACGAACGCUGGCGGCAUGCCUAACACAUGCAAGUCGAACGAGACGUUCGGUUCUAGUGGCGCACGGGUGCGUAACGCGUUGGAACCUGCCCUUAGGUUCGGAAUAACUCCCCGAAAGGGGUGCUAAUACCGGAUAUUGUCUUCGGAACAACGAGUUAUCGCCUUUGGAUGGGCCCGCGUUGGAUUAGCUAGUUGGUAGGGUAACAGCCUACCAAGGCGACGAGGCAUAGCUGGUCUGAGAGGAUGAUCAGCAACACCGGGACUGAGACACGGACCCCAAUCCGACGCAAGGCAGCAGUAGGGUAUAUUAUGCAAGGGACCAAAGUCUAACCAAGCAACGUCGCGUAUGUCAUGAAUGCCGUAGGAUUGCACAGCCCCCUUAGACGAGAUGAAAAUGACAGUACCGGGAGAAUAAGCUCCGGCUAACUCCGUG